rnacentral:lncRNA from 1 species
GGGUUGCUGGGGUUGUGUAACUGUGCCUAGAGGGCGGGGUUCCUGUACAUUCCUACUUCACCAGAUAACCUGCCCCCAACACCACUUCAGCUUCUGCCAGACAGAUGGAACUCUCCAGCAUGAAAAUCUGCGCAGCCAUUCCAACAAGCAGGGCUCUGCCUGAGGUCGUCCGAAGGAUGCCGAGGAAAAGGAUAUCAGGACUGGAAGCGCUCUUACAGCAAGAUCCAGGUUUUUCAUUAGUCAAUACAGUGAAGGCUGGCAUGAUCAUCAGCUUCCCAUCAAAUAAUAUCUACUCAUCAGUGUGCUGUUGUCAAUCAGAGAUUUUCAAGUAUGAGUUCUCCAACUCAAAGAAAAGUAGCUGGAUCCAGGAAGAAAGGCAUUUGGGGAGGAACAACGUUCUUUGCAGUGCUCAUGAUGUGUCUCCAGAGAAAGUUACUUCAGCACUAAACAAACAAACAAACAACAACAAUAAACAACUUUCCUCUACAGUAUCUUCCAGGGCCUAAACUAUUAGACAGGUUCCUAAGUUUAUCCAGAUCUCUCCUAUGUCUGAAUUCUUGGUCAUCUUCCUUGUCUCUGGCUCCACAGGUAAAGAAGAAAUAAUAAUAAAGGAACAAAAAUCAUAUGUUUCUGUCGGGCUGACUCAUUCCACUUUUGAAGCACCCAGUGGAUUAAUUAGUCUUAUUAUUGCAUUUACUGUCACCUACACACUUGUUUGUGGGAAGGCACUCUUCUUGGCAUUUGCCUAGUUGCAAAAAGGAACACUAAGACUAUAGCCACUGGAUAAUGCUCUUGAAGUUCACGGCACUGUGGCAGCAUAAAGCUUGAACAGACCUAGUUUUUUUAUUGAUGGAGUGCAACUGAUAUAGCACCACCUUUCUCUGACACUGUAUAUUAGCUUUUAGUUACGAACUACUUCCUUCCAGUGCAGCAGUUGUUGCCUACCAUUGGUACCAGUUUGGCACCAUUAUAGGAAGAAUUUGGAGAGUUUUGGUAUGGUAAUCAAGAUGUGUAUUGUAAUAAUUAACUGAAUUCUGUGAACACACUGUUUCUACCUUAAGUGAAAGAAAAAGAGAACAGCUGCAAUUAUUUAUCUUCACUCAUUUCUCAUAGAUAGCCAGGAUUUUUCAGUGUACAUUCUGUUGUCCUGAAAUUAUUUUCAGUUCUUGUUGGUUCUUAUAGAUUAUAAUGAGAAAGGCAUGAGCAAGAAAUUUGAAAUAAAGAACACAAAAUG